rnacentral:rRNA from 1 species
CCUACGGGUGGCAGCAGUGAGGAAUAUUGGUCAAUGGACGAGAGUCUGACCCAGCCAAGUAGCGUGAAGGAUGACUGCCCUCUGGGUUGUAAACUUCUUUUAUAAAGGAAUAAAACGAGGCACGUGUGCCUUUUUGCAUGUACUUUAUGACUAAGGAUCGGCUAACUCCGUGCCAGCAUCCGCGGUAAUACGGAGGGUCCGAGCGUUAUCCGGAUUUAUUGGGUUUAAAGGGAGCGUAGAUUGGUUGUUAACUCAGUUGUGAAAGAUUGCGGCUCAACCGUAAAAUUGCAAUUGAUACUGGCAGUCUUGAGUACAGUUGAGGGAGGCGGAAUUCGUGGUGUAGCGGUGAAAUGCUUAGAUAUCACGAAGAACCCCGAUUGCGAAGGCAGCUUACUAAACUGUGACUGACAUUGAGGCGCGAAAGUGUGGGUAUCAAACAGGAUUAGAUACCCCGGUAGUC